rnacentral:rRNA from 1 species
UGGCGGACGGGUGAGUAACGCGUGGGUAACCUGCCUCAUACAGGGGGAUAACGAUUGGAAACGAUUGCUAAUACCGCAUAAGCGCACAGUACCACAUGGUACGGUGUGAAAAACUCCGGUGGUAUGAGAUGGACCCGCGUCUGAUUAGCUAGUUGGUGGGGUAACGGCCCACCAAGGCGACGAUCAGUAGCCGACCUGAGAGGGUGACCGGCCACAUUGGGACUGAGACACGGCCCAG